rnacentral:piRNA from 1 species
UGGUGAGUGCAAAAUAAGCACAGAUGAGAUG